GUUUGGCUGCUGUUUGGAGUAUGUUUUAUUGAAUUUUUAUGGAUUUAUUAAAUGGUUUGAUUAAUCUAAUGAUGUUGAAUUAUGUUAAUGAUGAGAUAAUCAUAUGAUGAACAUAUGAUUGAGAUUGUGGUGUGUAGCCCAACUGUGGGGACUGCUUUGAUGUUGUUAUUUAUAGUUAGAUAUUGAACUAUAAAUUUGUUGUUGAGUUGUUGUGG
rnacentral:lncRNA from 1 species